CGUGUGGUUCUAUUUUGUUGGUUUCUAGGACCGCCGUAAUGAUUAAUAGGGACAGUCGGGGGCAUCAGUAUUCAAUUGUCAGAGGUGAAAUUCUUGGAUUUAUUGAAGACUAACUACUGCGAAAGCAUUUGCCAAGGAUGUUUUCAUUAAUCAGGAACGAAAGUUAGGGGAUCGAAGACGAUCAGAUACCGUCGUAGUCUUAACCAUAAACUAUGCCGACUAGGGAUCGGACGAUGUUAUUUUUUGACUCGUUCGGCACCUUACACGAAAGUACAAGUUUCUGGGUUCUGGGGGGAGUAUGGUCGCAAGGCUGAAACUUAAAGAAAUUGACGGAAGGGCACCACCAGGGGUGGAGCCUGCGGCUUAAUUUGACUCAACACGGGGAAACUCACCAGGUCCAGACACGACGAGGAUUGACAGAUUGAGAGCUCUUUCUUGAUUUCGUGGGUGGUGGUGCAUGGCCGUUCUUAGUUGGUGGAGUGAUUUGUCUGCUUAAUUGCGAUAACGAACGAGACCUUAACCUGCUAAAUAGCCCGCGUUGCUUUGGCAGCGCGCCGGCUUCUUAGAGGGACUAUCGGCUCAAGCCGAUGGAAGUUUGAGGCAAUAACAGGUCUGUGAUGCCCUUAGAUGUUCUGGGCUGCACGCGCGUUACACUGACGGAGCCAGCGAGUACUUCCUUGGCCGAAAGGCCCGGGUAAUCUUGUUAAACUCCGUCGUGC
rnacentral:rRNA from 1 species